CAGCAAAUAGUUUAUAUAAAAUUUUAAUUUUGGAUAUUAAAGAAAUUUCAUCUUUUUUGCUGA
rnacentral:tRNA from 1 species